rnacentral:rRNA from 1 species
GAUGAACGCUAGCGGCAGGCUUAACACAUGCAAGUCAAGGGGUAUAGUUCUUCGGAAUUAGAGACCGGCGCACGGGUGCGUAACGCGUAUGCAAUCUGCCUUUCACAGAGGGAUAGCCCAGAGAAAUUUGGAUUAAUACCUCAUAGUAUUAUAGAGUGGCAUCACUUUAUAAUUAAAGUACACAACGGUGAAAGAAUGAG